GACGAACGCUGGCGGCGUGCUUAACACAUGCAAGUCGAACGGAAAGGCCCCUUUGGGGGUACUCGAGUGGCGAACGGGUGAGUAACACGUGAGUAACCUGCCCUUGACUUCGGGAUAACUUCAGGAAACUGGGGCUAAUACCGGAUAGGAAUCCUUGCUGCAUGGUGGGGGUUGGAAAGCUUCGGCGGUUUUGGAUGGACUCGCGGCUUAUCAGCUUGUUGGUGGGGUAGUGGCUUACCAAGGCUUUGACGGGUAGCCGGCCUGAGAGGGCGACCGGCCACAUUGGGACUGAGAUACGGCCCAGACUCCUACGGGAGGCAGCAGUGGGGAAUAUUGCACAAUGGGCGGAAGCCUGAUGCAGCAACGCCGCGUGCGGGAUGACGGCCUUCGGGUUGUAAACCGCUUUCAGCAGGGGCGAAGCUUGUGGUGACGGUACCUGCAGAAGAAUCACCGGCUAACUACGUG
rnacentral:rRNA from 1 species